UAAUUGUUGUCACAGCUAUCAUGUCUGAGAAGCAUAAAAAGCUAAUCACGAAGAACAUUCAGAAACUAGCAAAUUAUGCUACAUCGGAAUUUGGGAUUAAGAAGCCUUCUGAAAGAGCUCCACAAAGUUUAUUAUAGAGCCGACGCUAUACAAAUCAAGAUCUAGAAGCAUUUUCACUAAAAUCUUUAAUCGAAGUACAAAGAACCAAGUGCGAUUAAUUUUAAAUUAAGAUUUACAAAUCACAAACUCCAUACGAAGGAAGUAAUGCACGAGUCAAUUCAAAUCUUCCGACGAAAGUAACAAGAUCUAUCCAA